CUGUGUCUGUGUGUGAGUCUGUGUCUGUGUCUCUGUGUCUGUGUCUCUGUCUGUCUGUCUGUCUGUGUUUGGUGAGGGAAUUUCUGUAUUUCAGCUUGAAUCUUUAUUACUACAUUGAAUCUGGGCAACACUUUCCUAAUUGCAGUGGCACCUGUAGACUUCCUUAGGAUAAUCUCUAGCUCAUUGAUAAUGAGCUGUUGUUGGUAAUGUAACAAACAAGGCUCCAAAUGCGUUUUUCAUUAAUGUCUAGGAUCUAAAAACAUCAAGGGGUCUCUUUGAAGAAAUGAAGAAAACAGCCAACAACAAUGUGGUGCAGGUGAUCGAAUGGGUGGUAGAAAAGAUGAGCAAGAGAUAAACUUCUCCAUCCUCCUUUACUUAGAAAACCGCACACAACCGGCACCUUUACUCAGUAGAUGCUAUACUUGUAAAGGGGAUCCGUGCUGUCCUGUAUUUAUAUAGUUUUGUGAUGCUCAGUUAAAGUAUUUUUAACUAAUGCACUUAUUUUUACAGUUUCCCAAUAUUUUUAACCUAUGUUAUUUUUUAUAUAUUUUAAAUGUUUUAACUCUUGACUAUUUAAUUGUUCAAUAAACAGUAAUAUUUCAUUA
rnacentral:sRNA from 1 species